rnacentral:lncRNA from 1 species
UGAAGUUUGAAACAUUUAUCAAUUAAAUGCCCAGACUUCUUACAGUAUCUACAGAACAACGAUCCUCUACCUUGAUCAAAGUUGACUCUUUGUUUGAAAGAAGAAAAAGUAUUAGGCAUUGUAGCCUUAUUAGAGUUAACUGGCUUCCUGUUAGAGUAGGCAUUAAAAGAGACAGAAUCCGGAUUAAAAUGAGAGGGAGA